AGGGAUUUCAAGAGACCAAGGCCUGAAAGAUGCCGUAAGCUGAGGCACUGGGGUCAACAAUGUUCUAGCUUUGGUUUUGCCUUGUUCAAAUGCCAUUCGAGAAUGGCCACUCUCAGAAUAUUUUCUCCCGGGUGACUGAAAGAUGUUGAUUCCCAGAUGAGUGUUGUGCGAACCGUACUGUCCCCCACGCGCUGCCCAAAAAUCAUUCAAGGCCAUAGAAAUUUUUUAUCUUUAGCCCCCUGUAGCUUCCAUCUUUGAAUAUUGAAUCAACUGCAAUCAACUCGACGGUGGGAAUUUGGGGAUCCGGUGAUUGCAGGAGAAGGGGAAGGGAGGCUAG
rnacentral:misc_RNA from 1 species